GCUGGGCCUGUAACCUAAAUCGCUGGGA
rnacentral:sRNA from 1 species